CUGAGCUGGAAAAUAGCACUGAGGUGGUUUCAUGAAAGAGGAAGCAGCAAGGCUGGGCCUUGAAGAACGUGAAGGAGUCACCCAGCUAGAGAGGGCAGGAGGGUGUUCCACGAAGUACAAACAUCAUGAACAGAAAGUCAAAGAGUGAAAGUGAAGGGAGGAUUGGGGAGCAGUGAACAGACAAUGUGAGAGAGCUGCGGCACCAUGGAGAAGAGUAAUGAGAGGGACAUCCUGAAGGAAAGACAAUAUGAAGGACUGUCGAUGCCAAAGAAAGGACUUUCAGCCAUAUGCACGCAAUGGGGAGCAAUGCAAGAUUGUCAACCAAGAGACUGAGGUGACCAGAUCUGCUUCACAGCAGCAGCAGCAGCAGUGUACAUGGAAGAUUAGAGGACCGAGAGAGAUGCAUGUCAGGAAAAUCAGCUAACAGACUCUAAAAUAACUAAGACUUGAGAAAGAUCUGGAUCAAAGCUUUAACAGCAGCAAUAAAGAAAAAAGAAGAGACAUUUCUGUAAUCAGAUCUAGAAAAGUUGAUGACCCCCAGGAUAACAGCCAUGAAAGUGCUGCUACCACAAACAUGAGGAAACUUCUGUUAGGAGUUCAACCUUCAGAGAGGACAGCUGGCAGUGCAAGAUGGUGACAGCCCUGCAAUCAGGAGAAGAAAGUCAUGAGAGUAAGGAAUGAUGGAGAGGGAUGAGAGCGUUUUCUAGGAUUUGAAGAGUUAAGAGACUCUGAAUAAUUGGCAGGGGAAGCUGGGAUGGAGAACAAAGUAGGAGAAGAAUCAUUUGCUGUGAACUCUGUAUUUGGAUUCCAUUUUUGAUGAUCUUUGAAAAUGGGAAUAAAGGAUUUGGGUUAUUUUUAAAUUCCUUUGGAGGCUAGACAGUUUCCCUAAAUUCAGCAUUCCCUUUGAAACUAGACCGCAUGAGUCUCUGGUUUGUGCAGGGUUACCCUGGGUCAGAGUUGCCUCUAGAAUAAGCAAUGGGUAAGUCCUUGAGCUGUUGGAAGCGCAUGGAGUGCCUGACAGUCUUCUGCACAUUAGGCAUAGGGGACCCUUUUGGGGGAAGAGGAUGAAGAAUAGGAGGGGUGAUGGGAGCAUGUUGGGUUGUGCCAGUUUAAAGAGAACGUGAAAAAGAUAAGCAAGCAAAUGAGGCUGCAAAAGAGGAAUCAUGGGAGAAUGAGGAAAAUUAAGUGAUCAUAGCAUCCCUGAGGUCAAAAGAGCAGGGGUUUCAGGGAGAGUGCCAGGGCAUUAGUUAAUACAAAGAAGAGACCACUGGCUUUGCACCCUGGAGGUCAAUGCUAUCCUCUUCCUAAUCCAUUACUAUAGAGUGAUGGGGACCAGCGUUUGUGUAUUGAGGAGAUAAUGAGAAGUGUAAAUGGAAAACAACCAGAAGAUAACAAGGAUAAACAACUCUUUCAAAAAU
rnacentral:lncRNA from 1 species